rnacentral:rRNA from 1 species
GACGAACGCUGGCGGCGUGCUUAACACAUGCAAGUCGAACGGAAAGACCCUGCUUUUGUGGGGUGCUCGAGUGGCGAACGGGUGAGUAACACGUGAGUAACCUGCCCUUGACUUUGGGAUAACUUCAGGAAACUGGGGCUAAUACCGGAUAGGAGCUCCUGCUGCAUGGUGGGGGUUGGAAAGUUUCGGCGGUUGGGGAUGGACUCGCGGCUUAUCAGCUUGUUUGUGGGGUAGUGGCUUACCAAGGCUUUGACGGGUAGCCGGCCUGAGAGGGUGACCGGCCACAUUGGGACUGAGAUACGGACCAGAAUCCUACGGGAGGCAGCAGUGGGGAAUAUUGCACAAUGGGCGGAAGCCUGAUGCAGCAACGCCGCGUGCGGGAUGACGGCCUUCGGGUUGUAAACCGCUUUCGCCUGUGACGAAGCGUGAGUGACGGUAAUGGGUAAAGAAGCACCGGCUAACUACGUG